rnacentral:tRNA from 1 species
GGGCGGGUGGUGAAACUGGCAGACACGUUAGCCUUAGGAGCUAAUGCCGAAAGGUGUGAGGGUUCAAAUCCCUCCCCGCCCACCA